rnacentral:rRNA from 1 species
CCUACGGUAGGCAGCAGUCGAGAAUCAUUCACAAUGGGGGAAACCCUGAUGGUGCGACGCCGCGUGGGGGAAUGAAGGUCUUCGGAUUGUAAACCCCUGUCAUGUGGGAGCAAAUUAAAAAGAUAGUACCACAAGAGGAAGAGACGGCUAACUCUGUGCCAGCAGCCGCGGUAAUACAGAGGUCUCAAGCGUUGUUCGGAAUCACUGGGCGUAAAGCGUGCGUAGGCUGUUUCGUAAGUCGUGUGUGAAAGGCGCGGGCUCAACCCGCGGACGGCACAUGAUACUGCGAGACUAGAGUAAUGGAGGGGGAACCGGAAUUCUCGGUGUAGCAGUGAAAUGCGUAGAUAUCGAGAGGAACACUCGGGGCGAAGGCGGGUUCCUGGACAUUAACUGACGCUGAGGCACGAAGGCCAGGGGAGCGAAAGGGAUUAGAUACCCCGGUAGUC